GAUUAAGAACGCAGCGAAAUGCGAUAAGUAAUGUGAAUUGCAGAAUUCAGUGAAUCAUCGAAUCUUUGAACGCACAUUGCGCCCGCCAGUAUUCUGGCGGGCAUGCCUGUUCGAGCGUCAUUACAACCCUCAGGCCCCCGGGCCUGGCGUUGGGGAUCGGCGGAGCCCCCCGUGGGCACACGCCGUCCCCCAAAUGCAGUGGCGGUCCCGCCGCAGCUUCCAUCGCGUAGUAGCUAACACCUCGCGACUGGAGAGCGGCGCGGCCACGCCGUAAAACACCCAACUCUUCUGAAGUUGACCUCGAAUCAGGUAGGAAUACCCGCUGAACUUAAGCAUAUCAAUAAGCGGAGGA
rnacentral:misc_RNA from 1 species